rnacentral:rRNA from 1 species
GUGGGGAAUCUUGCGCAAUGGGCGAAAGCCUGACGCAGCCAUGCCGCGUGAAUGAUGAAGGUCUUAGGAUUGUAAAAUUCUUUCACCGGGGACGAUAAUGACGGUACCCGGAGAAGAAGCUCCGGCUAACUUCGUGCCAGCAGCCGCGGUAAUACGAAGGGGGCUAGCGUUGCUCGGAUUUACUGGGCGUAAAGGGCGCGUAGGCGGACAUUUAAGUCAGGGGUGAAAUCCCGGGGCUCAACCUCGGAACUGCCUUUGAUACUGGGUGUCUUGAGUAUGAGAGAGGUGUGUGGAACUCCGAGUGUAGAGGUGAAAUUCGUAGAUAUUCGGAAGAACACCAGUGGCGAAGGCGACACACUGGCUCAUUACUGACGCUGAGGCGCGAAAGCGUGGGGAGCAAACAGGAUUAGAUACCCGAGUAGUCC